UGGCGAUGAGGAGACCAUUACUGCGUCGAAUUACGAUGAUAGCUUUACUUGCUAUUCUGAGCCAGCA